rnacentral:rRNA from 1 species
CGUGUAGGCGGGAAUACAAGUCAGAUGUGAAAUACUGUGGCUCAACCACAGAACGGCAUCUGAAACUGUAUUUCUUGAGUACUGGAGAGGAAAGCGGAAUUCCUAGUGUAGCGGUGAAAUGCGUAGAUAUUAGGAGGAACACCGGUGGCGAAGGCGGCUUUCUGGACAGUAACUGACGCUGAGACGCGAAAGCGUGGGGAGCAAACAGGAUUAGAUACACUGGUAGUCC